AGAAAAAGCUUGAUGUAUUGAUUAGAAAUUGGCUUUUUUAGGAUCCGGCUUUUAAAUAACCAAUUCAAUAAUUGAGUUGGGUAGAGAAAACGAUUUCACUCUUUUUUCAUGAUUUUUAUUUGUUACAUACUCUCCCAUUGAAAAUUCCUGAGCACACCACUGGGUGAAUAGGUACGUUUUUGAGAACGGCAAUUAGAAGAACCUACAGUAUGGAUGUAAAUUUCCUGCAGCUUGGUUCUCGUCCACUUAAAUCGAUGUAUGUAGCG